rnacentral:rRNA from 1 species
AGGAUGAACGCUAGCGGCAGGCUUAAUACAUGCAAGUCGUGGGGCAGCAGCUUUGUAGCAAUACAGAGGCUGGCGACCGGCAAACGGGUGCGGAACACGUACGCAACCUUCCUCUAACUGGAAGAUAGCCCACCGAAAGGUGGAUUAAUACUCCAUAAUAUAUUGAAGUGGCAUCACUUUAAUAUUAAAGCUCCGGCGGUAAGAGAUGGGCGUGCGGCUGAUUAGGUAGUUGGCGGGGUAACGGCCCACCAAGCCUACGAUCAGUAGCUGAUGUGAGAGCAUGAUCAGCCACACGGGCACUGAGACACGGGCCCGACUCCUACGGGAGGCAGCAGUAAGGAAUAUUGGUCAAUGGACGCAAGUCUGAACCAGCCAUGCCGCGUGGAGGAUGACGGUCCUCUGGAUUGUAAACUUCUUUUCUCUGGGACGAAACCCCCGAUUUCCAUCGGGCCUGACGGUACCAGAGGAAUAAGCACCGGCUAACUCCGUGCCAGCAGCCGCGGUAAUACGGAGGGUGCAAGCGUUAUCCGGAUUCACUGGGUUUAAAGGGUGCGUAGGCGGGUUUGUAAGUCAGUGGUGAAAUCCCCGAGCUUAACUUGGGAACUGCCAUUGAUACUGCAGAUCUUGAAUUUUCUGGAGGUAAGCGGAAUAUGUCAUGUAGCGGUGAAAUGCUUAGAUAUGACAUAGAACACCCAUUGCGAAGGCAGCUUACUACGGGAAUAUUGACGCUGAGGCACGAAAGCGUGGGGAUCAAACAGGAUUAGAUACCCUGGUAGUCCACGCCCUAAACGAUGAUUACUCGACAUUAGCGAUAUUACUGUUAGUGUCUAAGCGAAAGCAUUAAGUAAUCCAC